rnacentral:rRNA from 1 species
GCAUGCCGCGGUGAAUACGUUCCCGGGCCUUGUACACACCGCCCGUCACACCAUGGGAGCCGGUAAUACCCGAAGUCAGUAGUCCAACCUCGUGAGGACGCUGCCGAAGGUAGGAUUGGCGACUGGGGUGAAGUCGUAACAAGGUAAC